GGUCCCAGUUCCGAACCCG
rnacentral:snRNA from 1 species